CGAUCCGGUUGGCCGAGGUCUUGUGGGCGAGGCCGCCACCGGUGGCGUACAGCAGGUGCUGGCCCGACGAGGUGCGGAUCAUCGUCGGGUCGU
rnacentral:tRNA from 1 species